AGAGUUUGAUCAUGGCUCAGAACGAACGCUGGCGGCAUGCCUAACACAUGCAAGUCGAACGAAGGCUUCGGCCUUAGUGGCGCACGGGUGCGUAACGCGUGGGAAUCUGCCCUUGGGUUCGGAAUAACAGUGAGAAAUUACUGCUAAUACCGGAUGAUGACUUCGGUCCAAAGAUUUAUCGCCCAAGGAUGAGCCCGCGUAAGAUUAGCUAGUUGGUGAGGUAAAGGCUCACCAAGGCGGCGAUCUUUAGCUGGUCUGAGAGGAUGAUCAGCCACACUGGGACUGAGACACGGCCCAGACUCCUACGGGAGGCAGCAGUGGGGAAUAUUGGACAAUGGGCGAAAGCCUGAUCCAGCAAUGCCGCGUGAGUGAUGAAGGCCUUAGGGUUGUAAAGCUCUUUUACCAGGGAUGAUAAUGACAGUACCUGGAGAAUAAGCUCCGGCUAACUCCGUGCCAGCAGCCGCGGUAAU
rnacentral:rRNA from 1 species